UGAUUCCUGGCUCAGGAUGAACGCUAGCUACAGGCUUAACACAUGCAAGUCGAGGGGCAGCAUGGGCUUAGCUUGCUAAGCCCGAUGGCGACCGGCGCACGGGUGAGUAACACGUAUCCAACCUUCCGGUAACUCCGGUAUAGCCUUUCGAAAGAAAGAUUAAUYCCGGAUAGUAUGGUGAUUCCGCAUGGUUUCUCCAUUAAAGGAUUCCGGUUACCGAUGGGGAUGCGUUCCAUUAGGCAGUUGGCGGGGUAACGGCCCACCAAACCUACGAUGGAUAGGGGUUCUGAGAGGAAGGUCCCCCACAUUGGAACUGAGACACGGUCCAAACUCCUACGGGAGGCAGCAGUGAGGAAUAUUGGUCAAUGGGCGGAAGCCUGAACCAGCCAAGUAGCGUGAAGGAUGACUGCCCUAUGGGUUGUAAACUUCUUUUAUAAGGGAAUAAUUGUGGGUACGCGUACCCAUUUGCAUGUACCUUAUGAAUAAGGAUCGGCUAACUCCGUGCCAGCAGCCGCGGUAAUACGGAGGAUCCGAGCGUUAUCCGGAUUUAUUGGGUUUAAAGGGAGCGUAGGCGGGCGCUUAAGUCAGCUGUGAAAGUUUGGGGCUCAACCUUAAAAUUGCAGUUGAUACUGGGUGCCUUGAGUGCAGUAUAGGCAGGCGGAAUUCGUGGUGUAGCGGUGAAAUGCUUAGAUAUCACGAAGAACUCCUAUUGCGAAGGCAGCUUGCUGGAGUGUAACUGACGCUGAUGCUCGAAAGUGUGGGUAUCAAACAGGAUUAGAUACCCUGGUAGUCCACACAGUAAACGAUGAAUACUCGCUGUUUGCGAUAUACUGCAAGCGGCCAAGCGAAAGCGUUAAGUAUUCCACCUGGGGAGUACGCCGGCAACGGUGAAACUCAAAGGAAUUGACGGGGGCCCGCACAAGCGGAGGAACAUGUGGUUUAAUUCGAUGAUACGCGAGGAACCUUACCCGGGCUUGAAUUGCAACCGAAUUAUCCGGAAACGGGUAAGCCGCAAGGCGGUUGUGAAGGUGCUGCAUGGUUGUCGUCAGCUCGUGCCGUGAGGUGUCGGCUUAAGUGCCAUAACGAGCGCAACCCUUAUCCACAGUUACCAUCAGGUGAUGCUGGGGACUCUGUGGAGACUGCCGUCGUAAGAUGCGAGGAAGGGGGGGAUGACGUCAAAUCAGCACGGCCCUUACGUCCGGGGCUACACACGUGUUACAAUGGGGGGUACAGCAGGCAGCUCGGCGGCGACGCCCGGCCAAUCCCUAAAUCCCCUCUCAGUUCGGACUGGAGUCUGCAACCCGACUCCACGAAGCUGGAUU
rnacentral:rRNA from 1 species